AGAAUAGGAAAGGGAAUGGUGACCAGUUAAAAGAUGGAGCAUUGGUGGCUUAGGAGUCCCAAAUGUAAGGAAGUUGUCACAUCAGGACACUAAGAGGAAGAAGACAGAAUAUCAUUUGGAGGUGGAGGUCUGAGACGGGGGGUUAAAAGUAGCAGUUCGGCAGCAGCUACUGUUCUUGCCAAUGAUAAUAUGACCAGGUCAGCAGGUGGCCAAAGAACAGAUCCUUGGCAGCAGGCAGGUCUGGGCCCUAGGUCCUGGGUUGGAUGGGCUGUCUACAUCCAUGAUGCUGAAAUCCUGGCGAAGGGAGGUGGAGGGAAUAGCGGCUGAGAGACAGACGGGGAGCCACUGCGUGUGUGAUCCUGGCUGACGUGGAUUGCCUGGGAGGAAGGCAUGUGGCUGGAACCAGGGAGAUCACUCCAGAGCCUGUGCACCAAAGGUGCUGCGAGGUUUGAGGAAGGAGAGAGGGACAAUGAUCGGGAAGAAGCAACGAGGAACUUGGGAGAGCCCGACCCCAUCUCCAGCCUUUUGGGACAGGGAGCCUGGAAGGAAAAAGCAGCCCCCUUGAAGGGUUGAAAGGAAGCCGUGUCCUCACUCAGGGAAGAGUCAGGACAAGCUCCAUGGAGGAUGUGGGCAAAACACCAUCUUUUUCUUUUCUUUUCUUUUGAGACGGUUUCCUUUUGUCUCCCAGGCUGGUGCGUGCAGUGGCACCAUCUCGGCUCGCUGCAGCCUCC
rnacentral:lncRNA from 1 species